UACGGAAGGCAGCAGUGGGGAAUAUUGCACAAUGGGCGAAAGCCUGAUGCAGCUAUGCCGCGUGUAUGAAGAAGGCCUUAGGGUUGUAAAGUACUUUCAUCGGGGAGGAAAAAACAAAACUAAUAAUUUUAUUUCUUGACGUUACCCGAAAAAGAAGCACCGGCUAACUCCGUGCCAGCAGCCGCGGUAAUACGGAGGGUGCUAGCGUUAAUCAGAAUUACUGGGCGUAAAGAGCACGUAGGUGGUUUUUUUAAAGUCAGAUGUGAAAUCCCUGGGCUUAACCUGGAACUGCAUUUUGAAACUGAAAUACUAGAGUAUCGUAGAGGGAGGUAGAAUUCUAGGUGUAGCGGUGAAAUGCGUAGAUAUCUGGAGGAAUACCUGUGGCGAAAGCGGCCUCCUAAACGAAUACUGACACUGAGUGCGAAAGCGUGGGGAGCAAACAGGGAUUAGAUACCCGU
rnacentral:rRNA from 1 species